rnacentral:misc_RNA from 1 species
UUUCCGUAGGUGAACCUGCGGAAGGAUCAUUAUUGUAUCAACGAGGUGCGAGGGCUGUCGCUGAUCCAAAAGGUUGUGCACGCCCGAGAGCCCACACACACAACCACCUCACCCCUAUGUGCACCACCGCGUGGGUCCCUCUUUGGCUUGUUCGGUGGGCGGCUUACGUUUUCACACAACCUUUAUAUGCAGUGUAGAAUGUAUUUUUUGUUUUUGCGAUCACGCAAUCCAUACAACUUUCAACAACGGAUCUCUUGGCUCUC